rnacentral:tRNA from 1 species
GCCUGGGUGGCUCAGUGGGCUAAGCAUCUGACUUAGGUUCAGGUCAUGAUCUUGUGGUUCGUGAGUUUGAGCCUUACCUCAGGCU